CGCCGCGCCGCCUUCUUUGUCCUGGGGCGCCAGGCACAGCCCCCAUCCCGCGGAGGGUAACUCUAUUCUUUAGGCGCCUAGCCCGGGAUUAACCCCUUGCUGACCGUCCUUUAGCUCUAAACCACGCUCAGAUCUCCUCCACCGCCAUCCUGGUUCUGGAGCAAGCAGGAAAAGACCACCCCGGGAUAUGGGUAGGAAGGUGAAGGUGCCGCCCCAGGAAGUGAGGAAAGCUGGUGAGAUUGAGGCGCCUUCCAGGACCUAUGCCUAUUUACUGUCUCUGGAGCUCAUUGAGGCAGCUCCUGGCAGGUAGAGCUUUGAGGACCUGGAGAAACGUGAAGCUUUGCUGUGGCAGCCUGCUACACACAGAUGUAACCUGAGAGGACCUUGCUUCCGCUGUACUUCAUAUCUCAGGGCUUCUCUGCCACUGCAGUCUGGACCCCUGCAAGAAGCCACAGCCCAUUCGAACAUAAACCUGGAAGUACAAAGGAAUUAACGCGUCCUUGGACAACCUCUAACCAAAGCGAACAGAAGCUAGUGGAGAAAUGUUCCACUCUUCCGUGGGCAGUUACAAGGUACAUUUUGAACAGCACCUAACAUGACAGAACCCUGGCUGCCCGUGGUAGUGUCCAACUUAAUCAGCUCAGUAAUCCACCCUUGGAUUGCCUUUUUCUUUCCUGCCUUGACUGUUUGACUCUUCCUAGUCCUCCAGUCCUGUUCCUUGG